GAUAGCAAGUCCUCAACUAAUGAUAUAGAAUAUCAAGCUUAUGAAGCCUCCAACAAUGAUGGAUUACAAAUAUAUUACUCUUCCGAAGACAGUAUAAUUCUUAUUACCCGUGAAGAAGUGUGGGAGGAAAUCAAUGGAGCUGAAAAUGCUAGAAAUGGAUUUAUUCCUGAGCAAGCAUUUUAUAGAUUAAUUUUCAUAGUUUUA